rnacentral:tRNA from 1 species
GGCAGAGCUCAGUGGUAGAGCACUUGCCUGGCACCCAUGAGUCCUGGGUUCAAGCCCCAGCACUGCCA